GGUAGACAUACAGCAAAAUCGGUGGUGAGGUAAGGUUGGCCUAAAGGCUUCAUGGCAUGAUGGAGGAGAGUUCGGAUGACGAAUAUAGCGAUGAAUCCAAGAACCUUCAACGCUUCUUCAGGCUUGUCUAGGUUAAGGGCAUUGAUAAUGGGAGGAAGUGAUUGUUUUUACUCAGAAAUGGGCGGAGACGCUUGUGGAUUCCUUCUUUCACGUUCCUUCUCUCUUCCACUAAUCAUUGUCAACAUCUUAGUCCAUGAAACAAAGAGGACGAAAUAGCUACCGAAGGUAGCACAGCCGUCGUUCCGCGUGAGCCCUCUCAAGACGGCAGUGUUGCCCCUAAAGCUGAUAGUGAAAAGAAGUUGUGGAUGAGAAAGUCAGUAAGGAGAUCUUAAAGGAAGGUAACAGUUCGAAACCUCCAUUAUGUUCUACAUCAUCAUUGUUAGAUUGCUGAAUCAGCUUGACUUUCCUGGGAACCUAAUACAAAGCAUAUUUGGGAGAAAACAAAUCGUGUUGUCUUUAUUUUUGCUUUAGAGCCAUGAUAAUGUUUAGUAUCCAGUUUCUUAAACGAGAUUGUGCACUAAAGAGUGAGAUGUUAUCUGCGAGACAGAGAAAAAAAGAAGAAGAAAUGGCCCGGUUUGGCCAUCGGUGUUUCUAGC